rnacentral:rRNA from 1 species
GGCGGGACACGUGGUAUCCUGUCUGAAUAUGGGGGGACCAUCCUCCAAGGCUAAAUACUCCUGACUGACCGAUAGUGAACCAGUACCGUGAGGGAAAGGCGAAAAGAACCCCGGCGAGGGGAGUGAAAAAGAACCUGAAACCGUGUACGUACAAGCAGUGGGAGCACCCUUUGGGGUGUGACUGCGUACCUUUUGUAUAAUGGGUCAGCGACUUAUAUUCUGUAGCAAGGUUAACCGAAUAGGGGAGCCGGAGGGAAACCGAGUCUUAAUUGGGCGUUAAGUUGCAGGGUAUAGACCCGAAACCCGGUGAUCUAGCCAUGGGCAGGUUGAAGGUUGGGUAACACUAACUGGAGGACCGAACCGACUAAUGUUGAAAAAUUAGCGGAUGACCUGUGGCUGGGGGUGAAAGGCCAAUCAAACCGGGAGAUAGCUGGUUCUCCCCGAAAGCUAUUUAGGUAGCGCCUCGUGAAUUCAUCUCCGGGGGUAGAGCACUGUUUCGGCUAGGGGGCCAUCCCGGCUUACCAACCCGAUGCAAACUGCGAAUACCGGAGAAUGUUAUCACGGGAGACACACGGCGGGUGCUAACGUCCGUCGUGAAGAGGGAAACAACCCAGACCGCCAGCUAAGGUCCCAAAGUCAUGGUUAAGUGGGAAACGAUGUGGGAAGGCCCAGACAGCCAGGAUGUUGGCUUAGAAGCAGCCAUCAUUUAAAGAAAGCGUAAUAGCUCACUGGUCGAGUCGGCCUGCGCGGAAGAUGUAACGGGGCUAAACCAUGCACCGAAGCUGCGGCAGCGACGCUGAUGCGUUGUUGGGUAGGGGAGCGUUCUGUAAGCCUGUGAAGGUGGCCUGUGAGGGUUGCUGGAGGUAUCAGAAGUGCGAAUGCUGACAUAAGUAACGAUAAAGCGGGUGAAAAGCCCGCUCGCCGGAAGACCAAGGGUUCCUGUCCAACGUUAAUCGGGGCAGGGUGAGUCGACCCCUAAGGCGAGGCCGAAAGGCGUAGUCGAUGGGAAACGGGUUAAUAUUCCCGUACUUGGUGUUACUGCGAAGGGGGGACGGAGAAGGCUAUGUUGGCCGGGCGACGGUUGUCCCGGUUUAAGCGUGUAGGUGUGUGUUCCAGGUAAAUCCGGUUCACUUUAACACUGAGGCGUGAUGACGAGGCACUACGGUGCUGAAGCAACAAAUGCCCUGCUUCCAGGAAAAGCCUCUAAGCAUCAGGUAACAUCAAAUCGUACCCCAAACCGACACAGGUGGUCAGGUAGAGAAUACCAAGGCGCUUGAGAGAACUCGGGUGAAGGAACUAGGCAAAAUGGUGCCGUAACUUCGGGAGAAGGCACGCUGACACGUAGGUGAAGUGAUUUACUCAUGGAGCUGAAGUCAGUCGAAGAUACCAGCUGGCUGCAACUGUUUAUUAAAAACACAGCACUGUGCAAACACGAAAGUGGACGUAUACGGUGUGACGCCUGCCCGGUGCCGGAAGGUUAAUUGAUGGGGUCAGCGCAAGCGAAGCUCCUGAUCGAAGCCCCGGUAAACGGCGGCCGUAACUAUAACGGUCCUAAGGUAGCGAAAUUCCUUGUCGGGUAAGUUCCGACCUGCACGAAUGGCGUAAUGAUGGCCAGGCUGUCUCCACCCGAGACUCAGUGAAAUUGAACUCGCUGUGAAGAUGCAGUGUACCCGCGGCAAGACGGAAAGACCCCGUGAACCUUUACUAUAGCUUGACACUGAACAUUGAGCCUUGAUGUGUAGGAUAGGUGGGAGGCUUUGAAGUGUGGACGCCAGUCUGCAUGGAGCCGGCCUUGAAAUACCACCCUUUAAUGUUUGAUGUUCUAACGUGGACCCGUGAUCCGGGUUGCGGACAGUGUCUGGUGGGUAGUUUGACUGGGGCGGUCUCCUCCUAAAGAGUAACGGAGGAGCACGAAGGUUGGCUAAUCCUGGUCGGACAUCAGGAGGUUAGUGCAAUGGCAUAAGCCAGCUUGACUGCGAGCGUGACGGCGCGAGCAGGUGCGAAAGCAGGUCAUAGUGAUCCGGUGGUUCUGAAUGGAAGGGCCAUCGCUCAACGGAUAAAAGGUACUCCGGGGAUAACAGGCUGAUACCGCCCAAGAGUUCAUAUCGACGGCGGUGUUUGGCACCUCGAUGUCGGCUCAUCACAUCCUGGGGCUGAAGUAGGUCCCAAGGGUAUGGCUGUUCGCCAUUUAAAGUGGUACGCGAGCUGGGUUUAGAACGUCGUGAGACAGUUCGGUCCCUAUCUGCCGUGGGCGCUGGAGAACUGAGGGGGGCUGCUCCUAGUACGAGAGGACCGGAGUGGACGCAUCACUGGUGUUCGGGUUGUCAUGCCAAUGGCACUGCCCGGUAGCUAAAUGCGGAAGAGAUAAGUGCUGAAAGCAUCUAAGCACGAAACUUGCCCCGAGAUGAGUUCUCCCUGAGACUUAGAGUCUCCUGAAGGAACGUUGAAGACGACGACGUUGAUAGGCCGGGUGUGUAAGCGCAGCGAUGCGUUGAGCUAACCGGUACUAAUGAACCGUGAGGCUUAACCUUACAACGCCGAAG